CAUAAUGUUUCCCUUUGUUUUCGUUUGUUUGCUACUGGUCCAAGAACACACACAGACAAAUUUUGUCUGUUACUUCUUUGAAACAUCAUCAACUACAUCUAAAUAAGAACCUCAUCAUCAUCAUCCUUACAAUCCUACCACAACAUCCACAACCAAUCACCCCACCCCCCUCUCUUCCUUGCAAAAUUCUUGAGACCCGAGAGCCGCACUCCGGCGUCUCCGUUCUCCGGCAGCGAACUCAAUCCAGCCGCACCCAAAACCCCUCUGUGUCUCCGCCUUUUGUCUGACAAACGGCCACCACAACCGCAGUCCGGUGGUGGCGUGACAACAAGAAGAGAGAGACAAAUAGAUCGAGGAGAGAGAGAGAAUCGAGGAGAGAGAGAGAAGACGAAGAACGACAGUGACAACACCGCCAUACGCGGUGGCGACAGCAGUGGCGUGUGGUGUUUGUCCGGCAAGCAGCGACAGUCUCUGUUUCUUCUCCGGUUCGGUACAGUUGAUUUUGGGUCCUGAUUGUGCCUUGUUUCAGUCUCUGAUCGGGUCAAACCCGGUCAAAGUCAGUCAACUCGGUCAAGACAAGUCAGCGGCUCAGUCAACGGGUGUCGGUUCAGUCAAUUCAGUCAACACACGACUUGGGUGACCUCGGUGUUCCAUCCUUCUAACCUCAUACAUUCGUUGACACUUGGAUAAUCGGAUGACUUAGC